UCACUUUUAAUUUCUUAAUCCACUUACACAAUUCUCUCCCCCUUUUCCAAUUUCACAUCGAACCCGGGAAAGCUCAUUAGCUCAUUUGUUGUGUGUGUGUGAGUUGAAGAAGCGGGGGGAAGG
ensembl:ncRNA T06A4.7 ncRNA